GGAGGGAUCAUUAGAGAGUUUCAGAACUCCCAACCAUUGUGAACGAACCGCUAUGCCCAGGCUUAGGUACCCCCUAAGCUGGCGGCAUGCAAACUCUUGCUUUAGUAGAUAUCUGAGUAGCUUAUACAAUAAGUCAAAACUUUCAACAACGGAUCUCUUGGCUCUGGCAUCGAUGAAGAACGCAGCGAAAUGCGAUAAGUAAUGUGAAUUGCAGAAUUCAGUGAAUCAUCGAAUCUUUGAACGCACAUUGCGCCCGCCAGUAUUCUGGCGGGCAUGCCUGUUCGAGCGUCAUUACAACCAUCAAGCCCCAGGCUUGCGUUGGGGACCUGCGGCCACCGCAGCCCCCUAAAAGCAGUGGCGGUCUCGCUGUCAUACCGAGCGCAGUAGCAACCCUCGCUCCGGGCGUGGCAGUGGGCUUCCGGCCGUGAAACCCUCACUAAGGUUGACCUCGGAUCAGGUAGGAAUACCCGCUGAACUUAAGCAUAUCAAUAAGCGGAGGAAAAGAAACCAACAGGGAUUGCCCUAGUAACGGCGAGUGAAGCGGCAACAGCUCAAAUUUGAAAUCUGGCUUCGGCCCGAGUUGUAAUUUGCAGAGGAAGCUUCUGGCGAAGCGCUAUCCGAGUCCAUUGGAACAUGGCGCCAUAGAGGGUGAUAGCCCCGUAUGGAUAGAUGCGUAGCCUGUGUGAAGCCCCUUCGACGAGUCGAGUAGUUUGGGAAUGCUGCUCAAAAUGGGAGGUAAAUUCCUUCUAAAGCUAAAUAUUGGCCAGAGACCGAUAGCGCACAAGUAGAGUGAUCGAAAGAUGAAAAGCACUUUGAAAAGAGGGUUAAACAGCACGUGAAAUUGUUGAAAGGGAA
rnacentral:misc_RNA from 1 species